UUACCAGUUUGACAUAAAAGAGAUCCGCAAGGGACAGGUGGUGCAUGGCUGUCGUCAGCUCGUGUCGUGAGAUGUUGGGUUAAGUCCCGCAACGAGCGCAACCCUAUCAAUGUUGCCAGCAUAUGGGACUCAUUGAGACUGCCGGGGUUAAUCGGAGGAAGGUGGGGAUGACGUCAAGUCCUCAUGCCCCUUAUGCUGGGCUGCAAACACGCUACAAUGGGAUACAAGGGGCUUCGCGAGAUUAGUAAUCCCGAAAUCGUCUCAGUUCGAAUUGAAGUCUGCAACUCGACUUCAUGAAGCUGGAGUUGCUAGUAAUCCCGAUCAGCACGCGGGGUGAAUACGUUCCCGGGCCUUGUACACACCGCCCGUCACACCACGAAAGUCGGAAACCGAA
rnacentral:rRNA from 1 species